CGGGAGUUCCCCCGCUGUUGUGCGGCCGACUGCCGGUGCUAGUGUCCCUUCAACUGUUGGCUAUCGUGUGCCUAUCUUUUGACGAGUGCUUGCGUGCUGCUACCAGGAGCACUGGAAGUUGCAUUGCUAAAUGUUGGCUUUGCCGUGCACGCCCCUAGGGGCAUGUCACGUCGACUUUAAAGUGUUCAUGGCGUUGCCUCGUGUAGCUGGCCGYAUAGGCUAGCAGCAUCAAGGCCACCUUAUGAAUGCUAUUGGUCUCGGAUGCGGCUUACUGUAAAGGCCGAAGGUGCUCUGGCGCCUCAUGCCUACAAAAUAUUGUCCGAAUGGAAACAACGACAGUUGGCCUAGCUGAUGCCUCGUGCGGAAGCUAGUGCU
rnacentral:misc_RNA from 1 species